rnacentral:lncRNA from 1 species
UAACGGCUGUUGUCAGGUCUUCAGGGUCUCGAGGUAGACAUGAUCGCCAAGGCAGCUGAUUGUCCCAAGGAAUAAGUAUGAGCAAUGAGCACAGAGGGAAAAUCAUGAAACAUCUGAGGACCAUGAGAACUGCUAAAACAAUACGUAGAACUAGCUAUACCAGAGAAAGUCAAGUGAAUGGAUCAGACAAUAAGAAUUGAAAAUAAGCUUAAUAGAGCUUCAGAGAAAGAAGGGAGAAUGUUGGAAACACAAAGCACAAACAAGCAUUUGUGAAUUGGAUGUUGACAAAUAUUAAUGAAAUAACUCAAUGGAUGGGUUGAAUAUAGCUGGACAGUUCACUCAUGAACCGGAAGAUUAGAGCAAGGAAGGAACUAAGAAAUGGAAAGCAUGAAAGGAGAGUUAAGAAAUGUGGAAGGUAGAAGCAUAAAUAUUUUUCUAAUGGAAAUUCCAGAAGGGGAAAAAAAGAACAUGUGAAAGAAUUAUUGCUGAGAAUUUCCCAGAAUUGAAGACAUACUUUAGAAUGAAAAAGGCCAACUCUAACUUUGGGAUUUCUAGCUUCAGAGAAAUGAAAAUUUAGAAUGACCAAGGGGAGUGCACAGGAUUUUUUGGGCAGUGAAACUAUUCUGCAUGAUACUAUAAUGGUGGAUGCAUGCUAUUACACAUUUGUCAAAACCCAUUGAAUGUACAUCACUGAGAAUGAAGCCUAAUGUAUGC